AUUAUACCUACUGUAGUCUCGAUCUUUUUCUUAAUUGGUUUCAACCUUUAAUUGAGGUAAUUGACUUCCUUCCACAGGUAUAGGGACUUCUGGGAAACAAACAGGUAGUUGAGAGCAGGUUGUCAACACAAGCUCCUUUCAGAUCGACAGAGCUCCAGUUUGGGCUGCUGUGCCUCGUAGGCACACAUGGUAGGCAUUUGCCUGUGGUCACCUACAUCCACUUCACCCUUCUUAAGGAUACACGUAAAAUUCAAGAUAGCUCUGGCUCUUAGCCAUUCAUGCUUGGAUGACAAGGAAGAGAUGAACCAUGCUGCUGUCUGAGCAAUUGGUGCAGGAAGCAAGCAUCACCGAGGAAAUCAGAGCUUCUCUGGGAAAGGCAUUACUGUUUUCGCUUGAUCAAUGACACCAGAGUCCAUCUGGGCAGCACUAAAAUUUCCCUACUUUUUCCUACCCCCAUGGGAGCACCGAUCACAAUGUCUUUCCUGCAGUGAAGGUGUUCAUCAUGCACAAGGAUGGGAAUGAUGACAGAAAUGAUCACUUUUGCAACAAGAUUUCUGGAAGAAUUUGACCUUGAUGCUGAAGGUAUAUCAAUCAUCCUCAGGAUGAUGGAGCAGGAAGAGAAAGAGCCUCUUCCCUUGGUGGCAUUUUAAGGUGCUGUAUGAGCCCUGAUUUGCUUAAACCAAGACUUCAUUUCACAUGGAGUAAAUAAGUCCCUCCUUUGGGUAAGUCCUCAUUCAUCAGGUUUUAUGGUACUUGUGCAAAACCUAAUCCUAACAUAUCUCAAUUUAUGAAUCAAUGUCCAUAGCAUAUGGCAAAUGUAUGCUAAAAUAAAUUUCAGUAGGGUAGUUCA
rnacentral:lncRNA from 1 species